GCCUGAGUGACUCAGUGGGUUAAGCGUCUGACUUCAGCUCAGGUCAUGACGUUCGUGGGUUUGAGCCCCACAUCGGGCU
rnacentral:tRNA from 1 species